GUACCGUUAGCUCAGCUGGAUAGAGCGUCUGGCUACGGACCAGAAGGUCGGGGGUUCGAAUCCUCUACGGUACACCA
rnacentral:tRNA from 1 species